UUUCCGGUUGAUCCCGCCGGACCCCACUGCUAUCGGGGUAAGGCUAAGCCAUGCAAGUCGAAGGUCCCCGGCUCCGGGGGCCUGGCAGACGGCUCAGUAACACGUGGCUAACCUGCCCUAGGGAGGAGGAUAACCCCGGGAAACUGGGGUUAAACCUCCAUAAGCGACAGGCUCUGGAAGGACCUGUCGCUGAAAGUGGUGUACGGGGAUGCUCCGUACACCAGCCCUAGGAUGGGGCUGCGGCCCAUCACGGUUGUUGGCGGGGUAACGGCCCGCCAAGCCUAUAACGGGUACGGGCCCUGAGAGGGGGAGCCCGGAGAUGGACUCUGAGACAAGAGUCCAGGCCCUACGGGGCGCAGCAGGCGCGAAAACUCCCCAAUGCCCGAAAGGGUGAGGGGGUUACCCCGAGUGCCACCCUCGUGGUGGCUUUUGCGGGGUCUAAAAAGCCCCGCGAAUAAGGGGGGGGCAAGACGGGUGUCAGCCGCCGCGGUAAUACCCGCCCCCCGAGUGGUGGGGACUAUUACUGGGCUUAAAGCGCCCGUAGCCGGCCGGGUGUGUCCUCCGUUAAAUCCACGGGCCUAACCCGUGGGCUGCGGAGGAUACUGCCCGGCUUGGGGGUGGGAGAGGGCGGCGGUAUUCCCGGGGUAGGGGUAAAAUCCUCUGAUCCCGGGAGGACCACCGGUGGCGAAGGCGGCCGCCCAGAACACGCCCGACGGUGAGGGGCGAAAGCUGGGGGAGCAAACGGGAUUAGAUACCCCGGUAGUCCCAGCUGUAAACGAUGCGGGCUAGGUGUCGGGUGGGCUACGGGCUCACCCGGUGCCGAAGGGAAACCAUUAAGCCCGCCGCCUGGGGAGUACGGCCGCAAGGCUGAAACUUAAAGGAAUUGGCGGGGGAGCACCACAAGGGGUGGACGUUGCGGCUUAAUUGGAGUCAACGCCGGG
rnacentral:rRNA from 1 species